rnacentral:tRNA from 1 species
UUAUCCCCGGUGGGAUUCCCGAGCGGCCAAAGGGAGCAGACUGUAAAUCUGCCGUCACAGACUUCGAAGGUUCGAAUCCUUCUCC